GAGCGCGCCCAGAGAGUGUGGACUAUGGGCGGAGCCGGGUGCCCCUGGACCAGCUGCCGGAGGAGGAAGGCGGCCUGGGGUCUGGGCCUCCCGCCGCUGGCCUUCACCUCCGCUGCCGUCGCGGGGCAGUUUUGGGAGGUGGGGAAGCACAAACGCAGUCCCCCCCCCACCACAAAUUAUGGAGUCAAGUUUCGCACAUUUGGGGAAGUUGCAAGAGUGCAAUGGAUAAGCCUCACCCUGGGAAAACCACCUUCGUGAUCAUGGUGUCUCCUCUGCCAGCUGUCUUCUAGAGUCUGCUGUUGAAGCUUCCCAAGGUGCUGAUCUGAACAAGCAAUGGGAAAGUUUAGAGCCAUCAGCAAGGACUCCUGCCCGUCCAGCUGUGCCCACCAGGGCAGCUGGGUUGCUCCACUUAUGGGAUGAACUGUUUACAGUUCUUUCUUGUGCUCAUUCCAAGAAACCACUGUUAUUACAAGGAAAUUAUCAUAGAAGAAGAACCCCAUUUGCCAAAUCUGCUAACUUUGGGAAGAACCAAAUCUGAGGAAGAGUCAUGCUACGGAUCAAGGACAAAAAAACAAAGAAUACCACUAAGCAACUACUAAAAUAUUCUAAAAGACUUGGAGUACAAAUGUUAGCAAAGAUGUGGAGCAACUGGAACUCUGAUUCAUUAAUGGCAGAGUAUAAACUUGUCCUACCACUUUGAAAAACUGGCAAUAAAGCUAAGCACACACUUACACUUUGUCCCAGCAAUUCCACUCCUGGUGGAGCUGCAAGGAACCAGGCUAGCUCCAGUAAGAAAGGAAGAUUACUGAAUGGAUGAAAAGGAAUCUCAUGGAAUCUAAACAGAAAAUAUAGCAGGACACCACAGGAGAUGAGGUAGAGAUUGGAACGCUGAUCUGAAACUGAAACAGAGUCGCCUUCUCUAUUCCUUUCUCUCUCUGUGUCACCUCUCUGUGUGUGCUUGUGAUUUUCCCCGUGCAGAGCUGCCUUCUCUGCACACAGGACUGUGUUCACUCAGCAUGGCCUCAUGUAUGUGGGUGGUAAAGUGGCAACUUCAACCCCUGAGCAUGACUCUCCCCAUCUAAGCAGGGUACUCUCUGCCACUUCAGGUCCAAUUACUUAUGUACUAG